rnacentral:rRNA from 1 species
UACGUAGGGUGCAAGCGUUAAUCGGAAUUACUGGGCGUAAAGCGUGCGCAGGCGGUUUUGUAAGUCUGUCGUGAAAUCCCCGGGCUUAACCUGGGAAUUGCGAUGGAGACUGCAAGGCUAGAAUCUGGCAGAGGGGGGUAGAAUUCCACGUGUAGCAGUGAAAUGCGUAGAGAUGUGGAGGAACACCGAUGGCGAAGGCAGCCCCCCUGGGUCAAGAUUGACGCUCAUGCACGAAAGCGUGGGGAGCAAACAGG